rnacentral:rRNA from 1 species
UACGUAGGGUGCGAGCGUUGUCCGGAAUUAUUGGGCGUAAAGGGCUCGUAGGCGGUUUGUCGCGUCGGGAGUGAAAACCUUGGGCUUAACUCAGGGCUUGCUUUCAAUACGGGCAGACUAGAGGUAUGCAGGGGAGAACGGAAUUCCUGGUGUAGCGGUGAAAUGCGCAGAUAUCAGGAGGAACACCGGUGGCGAAGGCGGUUCUCUGGGACGGUACUGACGCUGAGACGCGAAAGCGUGGGGAGCGAACAGG